GUGGUUGCUUUUCUUGGAGUCUUUUUUCAAGUUUGGGAUGUGAGUACACUGAAUCAUGGAAUCAUGCCAGUGAAUCUAUCUUCUGUAAACAAGGCUAGUGAGUCUGGCAGACUUCUGUAAAAGAAAUCAGACAAACCUUGAUGUGUACCCUUGAAUCAGUUCAGGAUCUCAGAGGAUCUUGGACAGAGACAGGCCACCAUACAGAGCCACUAGGCUGGUCAGGCAGGACUUGCCCUUGGUGAAGCCAUGCUGGUUGUAUCACAUCACUUCUCUGUCUUCUGUGUGCCUGAGCAUAGCUUCCAGGAGAAUCUUCUCUAUCAUUCCCAGCACAGAGACUGAUGGGGGCACCUAAUGUGUGGAGUACGCAAGAAGGGAUUUUGCUUGAAACCUUGAGUAUGGACUUAGCACCAUCAACUCUUUUCUGCUGAGUUGUUGCCUUCAGCCUUGUAGUGAGAAGAUACAGGAUGCUUUGGAUCUUGUGAUUUCCUCUACAGUUGAUCCCAUCUCAGCAUGGUUCCUCUGCUCCUUCUCUUUUCUGGACCCAAUACCUAUGUAUUUCAUAAUGUGGUCUUGCCACCAGGCUGAGCAGAUCAUUCACUUUCUGUCAAUGUAAGACAGUCAGGAUUUGCUCUGCCAUCCCCAGCAUAACACAGCUUUGAAGAACAGGCAAAACAAAAGCUGAAUGUGCUGCUGCAUCUUGGAGUCAGGGUGAUGUUACUAAGGAUAUAGAGAAGACCUAUGGCUAGUGUUUGUCUUUGUUCCUCAAGUCUGGCUGUGAAGCACAACACAUUUGCUACUCUGGUAAUCAGCCACAGACGUGGCACUGAUUGGCAGAUGCCCAAGUGUGCAUUUCUCUAGCAAAUCAACGAAGCACCUUUGCAAAGAAGAGUACAUUGAACUUUCUGAAUAAUUUUAGAAAUGCUUAGAAUAGCUGUCUUGAGCUUUAGAAUAGCUGUGAUGUACAUUGUCCUCUUGGGCUUCUGCAGCUGUAACAGAAAAAUAUCUGAGCAAGGAUAUAUGAGAUGCAAGUUAAAAUGCCCAUUGGGAGUGGGAUGUAUUGAUUGUCAUGGAGAAAAUUACUAAAAUUUAUUUUUAUUUUUCAUCUGCAAGUAAAAAAGUGGAAAUAACAUUUUCUUUUUACUAAAGUCUCUCUCCUGCGUUUAUAUGCACUUGUAUAAUUAGUUGAAAGAAAUAGGUUGAGGUUUUUCUUGUCAGGGAUCUGGAUGGCACUUAUUUUUUCAUUGCUGUAUCUGUGAAUUCCAUAGGUCUUGAUAAAUCAGAUGGGUGACAACUGAAAGUAUCCAUUCUCACCCCAAAUCACAUUGUGUCAGGUGUACUUUGGGAGCAUACAGUACACUUUAGCAAAGGAGAACAUACAGAAACAUAAUGGAGGAGGCAAUAAUGCUGAUUAAAGUACAUAUAGUGGAAAGAAAUCUCAUAUAAAUAACGUAAUUUGCUCUUUCACUCUGAGUUAUUUACACAGUAAGGACAUGGAGGUUGCAACAUCUUUACUAUGACCCCAGAUUGUUUCCCUUGCUAAAUCUGUUCUGCAUAUGAGUCAAAGAGAUGGGAUUUGUGAGAGCAGUGGGAUUUCUGUAUUUGUAGAUAGGAAAUUGUCAAACAAUUUGGAGUAUAUAUAGCCUACAUUCAGAUGAGGCUGGUUUGUUUCCUGUGUAUGGAACAUUGCUACCUCAUCUCUUUGAUCUGAACUUGUUGCUCUAUUUCAUUUUCUA